rnacentral:rRNA from 1 species
GACGAACGCUGGCGGCGUGCCUAAUACAUGCAAGUCGAGCGGACUUUCAAGAAGCUUGCUUUUUGAAAGUUAGCGGCGGACGGGUGAGUAACACGUGGGCAACCUGCCUGCAAGACGGGGAUAACUUCGGGAAACCGGGGCUAAUACCGGAUAAUAUAUUCAUUCGCAUGAAGGAAGGUUGAAAGGCGGCGCAAGCGGCAGCUAGCAGAGGGGCCGGCGGCGAAUUAGCUAGUUGGAUAGGAAAGGGCUAACCAAGGCGACGAGUCGUAGCCGACCGUGGAGGGUUGUCGGCCCCCCCGGGACCUGGGCACGGCCCCGACUCCUACGGGAGGCAGCAAGAGGGAAUCCUCCGCCAAUGGCGAAAGUCUUACGGGGCAACGCCGCCGUGGCGAAUAAGGUCUUCGGAUCGUAAAGCUCCUUUUUCAGGGAAGAACAAGUACCGUUCGAACAGAUCCGUAUCUUGACGGUACCUGAUCAGAAAGCCACGGCUAACUACGUG